rnacentral:misc_RNA from 1 species
UAGAACUUAAAUAUUUUAAUUACUGAAGUACAUUUUUAGUGGUGAUGAAUACAAAAUAAACCGAUACAACACACUGAACCGGACUGAACCGUUAUUUCACAAAGACCUCUAAAGCCGAUUUAUUUUCCUGAUCAAUAACGUCAAGAAAAACCGGGUCUACGGUCACGUGACUAUCCACGUGCACCCGGAAUUUAUGGUCCCACCACAUCACCUUCGCAAAACCUUCUAUAUCCACCGUAGCAUCCAGCAACAUCUCCCUCUUCGCUACAUCGGCGACGAAUUCCUUCCCGUGAUGUGCAAGUUGAAGUCCGCUUAACCUCGCCGGAAGACGGAGUACCUGACAGGAACGCGGCGGCUGAGAUCCGGCUUUCACACGAGCUGAACCGAGGUGAUCGCCGGAGUAGAAAAUCGACAUUUCUGUUGAGGAGUAGUUGAUUGAAGUAACGUUAGGGUUAGUCACGUGAACGGUGAGGAUGAGUUCCGCGUCUACGACGGGGAAAUUGAGCUUGAAGGAAGUGAGAUCGAUGGAGAUGAGAUGAAAAUCAGGAUCCCGUGGCUUCGAAGAGAGUGUCAUCACCGUUGCUGCGGCAGCGGCGGCACCGACGAAGGCGGAGGUCCAGCUCCAUUUUACUCCUCUUCUACUUCCUUCUUUGCUCAUUGGUCG